ensembl:snRNA U2 U2 spliceosomal RNA
AUCCCUUCUUGGCCUUUUGGCUAAGAUCAAGUGUAGUAUGUGUAGUGUUUCUAAGUAUAUCUCUUUGUAUAACUUCCU